AGAAUUUUUUUUUGGUAUCUGCACUCAGCAAUACCUCCUGCUGAUGUGUUCAAAGGACAGUGCAAUAGAAAUUCAAUAUCUGGCAUCAUUGGUUUUCUUGGCUUUGUCCAUGGUAAACCUGGUAUUUCUAUUGAUACAAUA
ensembl:snoRNA